UACGUAGGGAGCAAGCGUUGUCCGGAAUCAUUGGGCGUAAAGCGCGCGUAGGCGGCCUCGUAAGUCCGUUGUGAAAGUCAAAGGCUCAACCUUUGAAAGCCGAUGGAUACUGUGAGGCUAGAGUCCGGAAGAGGCGAGUGGAAUUCCUGGUGUAGCGGUGAAAUGCGCAGAUAUCAGGAGGAACACCGGUGGCGAAGGCGGUGGUCUGGGCCGGCACUGACGCUGAGGAGCGAAAGCGUGGGUAGCAAACAGG
rnacentral:rRNA from 1 species